rnacentral:snRNA from 1 species
AAAACUGACAGUACAGAGACAAUUAGCAUAGUAUCUGUACAAGGAGGACACAUGAAUUCCUGAAGUGU